GAUGUCCUUAGUGGUUAGAGCGUCCGCCUCGGAUGUGGGAUGUCGCGGGUUCGAAUCCCGGCCGAGUAAUA